rnacentral:rRNA from 1 species
GACGAACGCUGGCGGCAGGCCUAACACAUGCAAGUCGAACGGUAACAGGUCUUCGGAUGCUGACGAGUGGCGAACGGGUGAGUAAUACAUCGGAACGUGCCUAGUAGUGGGGGAUAACUACUCGAAAGAGUGGCUAAUACCGCAUGAGAUCUACGGAUGAAAGCAGGGGAUCGCAAGAUCCUGUGCUACUAGAGCGGCCGAUGGCAGAUUAGGUAGUUGGUGGGAUAAAAGCUUACCAAGCCGACGAUCUGUAGCUGGUCUGAGAGGACGAUCAGCCACACUGGGACUGAGACACGGCCCAGACUCCUACGGGAGGCAGCAGUGGGGAAUUUUGGACAAUGGGCGAAAGCCUGAUCCAGCAAUGCCGCGUGCAGGAUGAAGGCCUUCGGGUUGUAAACUGCUUUUGUACGGAACGAAAAGCUCUGGGUUAAUACCCUGGGGUCAUGACGGUACCGUAAGAAUAAGCACCGGCUAACUACGUGCCAGCAGCCGCCGUAAUAC